rnacentral:misc_RNA from 1 species
UUAAGUUCAGCGGGUAGUCCUACCUGAUUUGAGGUCAAAUUGUCAAGAAUUGUCCUUGCAGACGGUUAGAAGCAAGUCUAAGUCCAAUCCACGGCGUAGAUAAUUAUCACACCAAUAGACGGAGCUCAGGUUGAACUCGCUAAUUCAUUUAAGGGGAGCAGACCACCGAAGCAUUCUGCACAACCCCCACAUCCAAGCUU